rnacentral:rRNA from 1 species
AUUGAACGCUGGCGGCAGGCCUAACACAUGCAAGUCGAGCGGUAGCACAGAGAGCUUGCUCUCGGGUGACGAGCGGCGGACGGGUGAGUAACGUCUGGGAAACUGCCCGAUGGAGGGGGAUAACUACUGGAAACGGUAGCUAAUACCGCAUAACGUCGCAAGACCAAAGUGGGGGACCGUCGGGCCUCACACCAUCGGAUGUGCCCAGAUGGGAUUAGCUAGUAGGUGGGGUAAUGGCUCACCUAGGCGACGACCCCUAGCUGGUCUGAGAGGAUGACCAGCCACACUGGAACUGAGACACGGUCCAGACUCCUACGGGAGGCAGCAGUGGGGAAUAUUGCACAAUGGGCGCAAGCCUGAUGCAGCCAUGCCGCGUGUAUGAAGAAGGCCUUCGGGUUGUAAAGUACUUUCAGCGGGGAGGAAGGCGGUGAAGUUAAUAACUUCACCGAUUGACGUUACCCGCAGAAGAAGCACCGGCUAACUCCGUGCCAGCAGCCGCGGUAAAAC